rnacentral:rRNA from 1 species
UACGUAGGGGGCAAGCGUUGUCCGGAAUCAUUGGGCGUAAAGCGCGUGUAGGCGGUCCGGUAAGUCCGCCGUGAAAGUCGGGGGCUCAACCCUCGAAUGCCGGUGGAUACUGUCGGGCUAGAGUACGGAAGAGGCGAGUGGAAUUCCUGGUGUAGCGGUGAAAUGCGCAGAUAUCAGGAGGAACACCAAUUGCGAAGGCAGCUCGCUGGGACGUUACUGACGCUGAGACGCGAAAGCGUGGGGAGCAAACAGG